rnacentral:rRNA from 1 species
AUUGAACGCUGGCGGCAGGCCUAACACAUGCAAGUCGAGCGGAAGAAGGGAGCUUGCUCCUGGAUUCAGCGGCGGACGGGUGAGUAAUGCCUAGGAAUCUGCCUGGUAGUGGGGGAUAACGUCCGGAAACGGGCGCUAAUACCGCAUACGUCCUGAGGGAGAAAGUGGGGGAUCUUCGGACCUCACGCUAUCAGAUGAGCCUAGGUCGGAUUAGCUAGUUGGUGGGGUAAAGGCCUACCAAGGCGACGAUCCGUAACUGGUCUGAGAGGAUGAUCAGUCACACUGGAACUGAGACACGGUCCAGACUCCUACGGGAGGCAGCAGUGGGGAAUAUUGGACAAUGGGCGAAAGCCUGAUCCAGCCAUGCCGCGUGUGUGAAGAAGGUCUUCGGAUUGUAAAGCACUUUAAGUUGGGAGGAAGGGCAGUAAGUUAAUACCUUGCUGUUUUGACGUUACCAACAGAAUAAGCACCGGCUAACUUCGU